UUUUAUUUUUUUGCUAUUUGCUUCUGAAGGAGUGGGUGUUAACUAAUCUUAGACUCCAGAUAAUGGCUUUGACAGACCUGCAUGGAGCUCAGAUUGUUGUAUAGCUAUUAAUUCAUUUAGACGUGCCAGCCUGCUGUUUGAUGGGCGUGCUGGCCGAGAAGAGAGAAUUGAUAUGUUAACCAGCCUGCGCURCUCUGGAAUUUGUACACAAGCGACCUCCUCUGUGCCUCAGAGCCCACAGGAAAGCUGCCUGCCCCAAGGCAAGUGAGGACGAAGGGCUCCCUUGGCCUCAGAGGAGAGGUGCUAGGCAAGAGGAACCCUUAGCUAGGCAAGAGGAACCCUAAGCUAGGCACCGAUGCUUCCUCUGCGUGGCUAAAGCCCUUUGUCAUCACUGCUGGCCUCGCUGAAGCACGCUGGUGGYUCCGUGUGAGUGCAGCGUGGCUGCCACUGCCUCCGUCAAUUCC